rnacentral:rRNA from 1 species
CCUCUUAGCGGGGGAUAACUAUUGGAAACGAUAGCUAAUACCGCAUAAAAGUCGAUAUCGCAUGAUAUUGAUUUGAAAGGUGCAAUUGCAUCACUAAGAGAUGGACCUGCGUUGUAUUAGCUAGUUGGUGAGGUAACGGCUCACCAAGGCGACGAUACAUAGCCGACCUGAGAGGGUGAUCGGCCACACUGGGACUGAGACACGGCCCAG